GCUUAGCCCUAAACUAUAAUAAUUACAUAACAAAAUUAUUUGCCAGAGAACUACUAGCCACAGCUUAAAACUCAAAGGACUUGGCGGUACUUUAUAUCCAUCUAGAGGAGCCUGUUCUAUAAUCGAUACACCCCGCUUUACCUCACCAUCCCUUGCUAAUUCAGCCUAUAUACCGCCAUCUUCAGCAAACCCUUAAAAAGGUAUAAAAGUAAGCAAGAGAACAAUCAUAAAAACGUUAGGUCAAGGUGUAGCCAAUGGGAUGGAAAGCAAUGGGCUACAUUUUCUAUUUAAGAACAUCACGACACCCUUUAUGAAACUAAAGGACAAAGGAGGAUUUAGUAGUAAAUUAAGAGUAGAGAGCUUAAUUG
rnacentral:rRNA from 1 species